rnacentral:rRNA from 1 species
AUUGAACGCUGGCGGCAGGCCUAACACAUGCAAGUCGAACGAGUGGCGGACGGGUGAGUAAUGUCUGGGAAACUGCCCGAUGGAGGGGGAUAACUACUGGAAACGGUAGCUAAUACCGCAUACUAUCCGAUGGACCCAGAUGGGAUUAGCUGGUAGGUGGGGUAAAGGCUCACCUAGGCGACGAUCCCUAGCUGGUCUGAGAGGAUGACCAGCCACACUGGAACUGAGACACGGUCCAGACUCCUACGGGAGGCAGCAGUGGGGAAUAUUGCACAAUGGGCUCAAGCCUGAUGCAGCCAUGCCGCGUGUGUGAAGAAGGCCUUAGGGUUGUAAAGUACUUUCAGCGGGGAGGCGUUACCCGCAGAAGAAGCACCGGCUAACUCCGUGCCAGCAGCCGCGGUAAUUC